AACAUGAAUUUUUUAAACCUUGGGUGAAGAUGGAAGAGGUGGACAUGAGCUUGCUCUUGCUAUGCUCGCUGUCCAGUAGCUUUGAUCUGUUGGUGAUGACCCUAUUGUAUGGUAAAGAGAUGCUAAAUUAUGAAGAGAUAGUCUCAGUUUUAGGUCCAAUGAGCAGCAGAAAUGGUUGACAAAGGAGGAUGUUUCUUAGGAGGACCUCAUCAUAGAGGAGAGGCCCAAUAAAGAAAAGGAUA
rnacentral:lncRNA from 1 species